rnacentral:rRNA from 1 species
GACGAACGCUGGCGGCGUGCUUAACACAUGCAAGUCGAACGGAAAGGCCCUGCUUUUGUGGGGUGCUCGAGUGGCGAACGGGUGAGUAACACGUGAGUAACCUGCCCCUGACUUUGGGAUAACUUCAGGAAACUGGGGCUAAUACCGGAUAGGAGCUCCUGCUGCAUGGGGGGGGUUGGAAAGUUUCGGCGGUUGGGGAUGGACUCGCGGCUUAUCAGCUUGUUGGUGGGGUAGUGGCUUACCAAGGCUUUGACGGGUAGCCGGCCUGAGAGGGUGACCGGCCCCAUUGGGACUGAGAUACGGCCCAGACUCCUACGGGAGGCAGGAGUGGGGAAUAUUGCACAAUGGGCGGAAGCCUGAUGCAGCAAGGCCGCGUGCGGGAUGACGGCCUUCGGGUUGUAAAGCGCUUUCGCCUGUGACGAAGCGUGAGUGACGGUAAUGGGUAAAGAAGCACCGGCUAACUACGUG